rnacentral:rRNA from 1 species
GGGAUGAGUGGGCGAACGGGUGGAUUAACACGGGGAAAAUUCUGCCUAGGAGUGGGGGAUAACAUUUGGAAACGGAUGCUAAUACCGCAUAUCUUUUUGAAACCGCAUGGUUCUUAAACGAAAGACGGCUUCGGCUGUCGCUCUUAGAUGAUCCCGCGGCGUAUUAGUUAGUUGGUGGGGUAAAGGCCUACCAAGACCAUGAUACGUAGCCGACCUGAGAGGGUGAUCGGCCACACUGGGACUGAGACACGGCCCAGACUCCUACGGGAGGCAGCAGUAGGGAAUCUUCCACAAUGGGUGAAAACCUGAUGGAGCAAUGCCGCGUGAAUGAAGAAGGUCUUCGGAUCGUAAAGUUCUGUUAUUAGAGAAGAACAAGUCAAGGAGUAACUGUCUUGACUUUGACGGUACCUAACCAGAAAGUCACGGCUAACUACGUGCCAGCAGCCGCGGUAAUACGUAGGUGACAAGCGUUGUCCGGAAUUAUUGGGCGUAAAGGGAGCGCAGGCGGUUGGAAUAGUCUGAUGUGAAAGCCCACGGCUUAACCGUGGAAGGUCAUUGGAAACUGUCCAACUUGAAUACAGAAGAGGUAAGUGGAAUUCCAAGUGUAGCGGUGAAAUGCGUAGAUAUUUGGAGGAACACCAGUGGCGAAGGCGACUUACUGGUCUGUAAUUGACGCUGAGGCUCGAAAGCGUGGGUAGCAAACAGGAUUAGAUACCCUGGUAGUCCACGCCGUAAACGAUGAGUGCUAAGUGUUAGGGGGUUUCCGCCCCUUAGUGCUGGAGUUAACGCAUNAAGC